rnacentral:rRNA from 1 species
CCUGGCUCAGAUUGAACGCUGGCGGCAUGCUUUACACAUGCAAGUCGAACGGUAACAGGUCUUCGGAUGCUGACGAGUGGCGAACGGGUGAGUAAUGCAUCGGAACGUGCCCAGUCGUGGGGGAUAACGCAGCGAAAGCUGUGCUAAUACCGCAUACGAUCUAUGGAUGAAAGCGGGGACCUUAGGGCCUCGCGCGAUUGGAGCGGCCGAUGUCAGAUUAGCUAGUUGGUGGGGUAAAGGCCCACCAAGCCAACGAUCUGUAGCUGGUCUGAGAGGACGACCAGCCACACUGGGACUGAGACACGGCCCAGACUCCUACGGGAGGCAGCAGUGGGGAAUUUUGGACAAUGGGCGCAAGCCUGAUCCAGCAAUGCCGCGUGCAGGAAGAAGGCCUUCGGGUUGUGAACUGCUUUUGUACGGAACGAAACGGUCUGGGUUAAUACCCUGGGCUAAUGACGGUACCGUAAGAAUAAGCACCGGCUAACUACGUG